GCCAGGCGCGGUGGCACAUGCCUGUAGUCCCAGCUACUAGGGGGGCUGAGGUGGGAGGAUCGCUUGAGUCCAGGAGUUCUGGGCUGUAGUACACUAUGCCAAUCGGGUGUCCACACUAAGUUUGGCAUCAAUAUGGUGACCUCUCAGGAGCAGGGGACCACCAGGCUACCUAAGGAGGGUGAACUGGCCCAGGUCGGAAACGGAGCAGGUCAAAACUCCCAUGCUGAUCAGUAGUGGGAUCGCGCCUGUGAAUAGCCGCUGCACUCCAGCCUGGGCAACAUAGCGAGACCCUGUCUCU
rnacentral:SRP_RNA from 1 species